rnacentral:tRNA from 1 species
ACUAGGAUCUGCUAAUAUAAGCAAUUGGGCCCAUGCCCCAAAAAUGAUAAUCCAACAUCUCCUAGUA